rnacentral:rRNA from 1 species
UACGUAGGGUGCAAGCGUUGUCCGGAAUUAUUGGGCGUAAAGAGCUCGUAGGCGGUUUGUUGCGUCGGCUGUGAAAUCCCGAGGCUCAACCUCGGGUCUGCAGUCGAUACGAGCAAACUAGAGUGUUGCAGGGGAGACUGGAAUUCCUGGUGUAGCGGUGAAAUGCGCAGAUAUCGGCAGGAACACCCAGGGGGAAACCAGUCGACUGGGCAUCUACUGACGCUGAGGUGCGAGAGCGUGGGGAGCGAACCGG